AGGGAAAAGCAGCAGCUCCAGCGUGGGGCAACAGAAGCCAGCAUCUCACCCACAGGCUGUGAUGGAGCUCCUGAGGACUCACUUGCCAAGCUGCUUCAUGUGCUGCAAGACCUCCGAGAAGCCCACAGCUCCAGCCUGGCCAGCCCGCCACCCAGAGAGCCCCAUCACCUUCUAGAGCUGCAGACUUGAGGUGUCCAUGAGGUGACCAUCGAGCCCGUCAGGCGUUUGGAGAUCCUCGACAGGCUCAGGAUCCUUGUCCCAGUCAACUGUUCUGGGGAGGGCUGUGACCCAACAUGGUUUUCUCCCUCCAUGUUUGUGGAGGACAACCAUGGCACCCGCUCCUUUGGGAGACCCAACUGUUCCUGUAGUCCCCAUGGCCCAGAUUUUUCACCCAGGAGACCAGGCUAUCCACCUCACACUGCUUUGCCACCGUCUGGCCUCCUGGGUCAGAUGUCACAGUGUUCUGCUGUCAUUAAUAAACCUGCUGGGACUGCCGCAA